rnacentral:rRNA from 1 species
CUACGGGGGGCUGCAGUGGGGAAUAUUGGACAAUGGGGGAAACCCUGAUCCAGCAAUGCCGCGUGUGUGAAGAAGGCCUGCGGGUUGUAAAGCACUUUCGGUUGGGAGGACUGCUUCUAGCACUAAUAUUGUUGGAAGUUGACGUUACCUUCAGAAGAAGCACCGGCUAACUCCGUGCCAGCAGCCGCGGUAAUACGGAGGGUGCAAGCGUGAAUCGGAAUUACUGGGCGUAAAGCGCGCGUAGGCGGCUAGAUCAGUCGGGUGUGAAAGCCCCGGGCUUAACCUGGGAGCUGCAUCCGAUACUGUCUAGCUUGAGUACAGGAGAGGAGAGUGGAAUGCCACAUGUAGCGGUGAAAUGCGUAGAUAUGUGGAGGAACACCAAUGGCGAAGGCAGCUCUCUGGCCUGAUACUGACGCUGAGGUGCGAAAGCGUGGGGAGCAAACAGGAUUAGAUACCCGAGUAGUC